CCUCAAUAUGUUUCUUUAAACGGACAACUUCCACAACAGAGAGUUAUAAUAAUUGGAUACCCAACUAACCUUACCAGAUUUGAUUUUAACUUCAUACAAGCCAGCAAAACGGGAAAACCAUCAGAUUGCAUGACUGAUGCUGUAGUAGUACAUUUUGAUAACAGGUUUAGAUAUCAAACCCAUACUAAUAGAAUCCUCGUAAAUUAUAGAACCGACUAUACAUGGAGUACUGCUACUUACAUCCCGAUCUCCAGUUUUCCAUAUCAAGUUAAUGUAACAUUCAGGAUUCAAAUUACCCUCCGCCUUAACCAGUUUAAGUUCCUCAUCAACGAUCAGAUGUCAUUCACUUAUGACCGUCCAACUGAUGGAGUAGGUAGAAUGUGCUAUGCUCAUGCUGUUGUCGUCAAAAAAAUCUUCACAACAUAGAAAUCAAAUAACUGUUACUGACUAGGUGCUCCGCUUAGUGAACACCCAAUUAAGUUUUGUAGCUUAAUUUUUUAAAUUUAAUCCAAUAUUAGUCAUUUUAAGUGACGUACAGAGAUUAAUUAAAAGCGGUGGAUGCAUUAAUAUUUACAAUAUAUAUUAUUUAUUUUCUUUGAUUAUUUCGCAGUACACACCUGUCAAUGUUGGUGUAAUAAAACAUUCAAAACACAAUAAUAAA